rnacentral:lncRNA from 1 species
UCUUUAACUUUUAAUUUAUUGAAAUUAUUUAUAGAUGUCUACUAUAGAAUGAAUAAAUAAGGAAUGAGAUGCGAAUAAGAAAAUAACUCCCUCUACUAAAUUUAUUGGAGAAUGAAGUGAGGAAUAAAGGUAAAAUUUUUAAUGGGGUAGGAGAAUGAGGUAGGCCUUCGCACCCGAUGUCAUUCCUAUCCAAAGCAAGAAAACAACCCGCUGCACCUGCAGGAUAGCCUCUUCCGUUGCAUACAAAGAUCUUUGAGAGUCUCAAAAAAUGUGCCAAGGGGCGAUUUAAUGAAGUUGCUCGUCAGGAUAAAAGACACUGCUUCUCACCCCAUGCUAAAUUGAUUCAGCAUAAAAUUUUCCAAAUCUUUGCAAUAUAAUGGCCAUGUCAUCCCAUUGCUCAGCAUCAAAAGCUCCUCUAGGUCUAAACAAUGAUCAUGGUCAUCCGUAUGUAGCAUUUCCCUCGUAUACUAAAUUCUGUACAUCCAAAUUGUUGUUGUGCGCGGAAUACGGAAUUAAGCGCACCAAAUAAUUACAAAAAAAUAAAGAACACAAGAAUUACGUGGUUUGGCAAUAUGCCUAUGUCCACGGGAGCAAGAGAAAAAUAAUUGUAUUAUUAACAAUUAUUUGAGUACAAAUUCGAGUAAAGAAAUCUCACUUUCCCAGAACCCAAAUACACCAAGUACUCUCACAUACACUCUCCAAUUGCUCACACUCUCAUAACUCUCAAAAACUUAAAAACUAAGAAACUUAAUAAAUU